AUGACUUUCUGGGCGGGUCCUUUAAACUUGAUGGAGCCAAGUUGCUGCGGAUUUAUAGUGGCCAUUUUGUAUCUGCUAGCUAUGUCUUAUGCUCUUCUAGCUGACUGGCUGUCUCCUGAACCUUGCUGGAGGUGAUUUUCAAAGGAAAAGAGAGCUAUGAGAAAAGAGAACAUAGGCCCAAAAAUCUCUUUCUCUUCAUCUCUAAUCAUGGCAGCGACAACAUCUGAAGGACAAGGAAAUUAACACUGAACUAAGGAAGAGGUCCUGGCUGAAAGGAUUCCAGCCUGUAGAACUGCUAAGCAUGUGCGUGGAAUAAAUCCUGCCUCUCGCUCCUUGGCCAUGGAGGGCCCCAAAGAAGUGGAAUGUUUGCAGCUGUGUGAAUGUCCUGGAUUUGGAGAGAUGUACAGUGGGGAUAUGCAACUCUCCUGCAUGGCUAAGAAUCACUGGAUCCUACUAGAGAGAUCCUCUAGUCCCCUACCAGCUGAGUGAAGCAGGCAAUCUGCUAUAGACUUCUGAAGUAAUCUCCAGGGAGCAACAAUGCAUUUGCUUUGCAGCCUGAACGAAAGGAUCCUUCUCCAUGUAUCUGCCCAGCACUCAGCCUGCUUAUAUAGGCUAGCCGCUGGAUUUAUAAUUUGUCCACAUUGGUGUAAUUGCAGUAAUGCAGCAUGCACCACUCAAUAAGGCGUUGGGCUGGGACUCAGGAGACUUGGGUUGUGUUCCUGGAUCUGCCACUAUCCUGCUGGGUGACCUUGAGCAUGUCAAUUCCUUUUGUGCCAAGGUUUCCCUUCCCGCCUUUGUCUGUCUUUUCUAUUUAUAUCAUGAACUCUUCAGGGCAGGACUGUUUCUUGCUAUGUGCAUGUACAGUGUCUAGUGCAAUGAUCUCAGUGGCAUCUCCUGUGCAUUAUUGUUAUACAAAUAAAUAAUAAUAAUAAUUAAUUGCUUUCAGUGAUAAAGUUUCAGGCCUGUAUUUCAUGGCAGUAGCUUACACAGAAAAAGUUUCAGGCCAAUGGCCAAGAUGGCUGACCCAACAAAGGAGGAGUGUUCUGCCAAGUAAAGCAGCAUGGAUGGUAUUAGUGUUGUUAUUCUGGGACAUGUGGUGUUCAUCACUGGUUCGUUCUUUGUUCUCUUUGUUUAAAAAAAAUAAACUAGUAAUAUUUUUGGUUGCAAAUCAAGAACUGUUUGUCUAGGAUUAUAUGGAAAACUUGGUUGAUUUCUACUCCAAAAUCAAUGAAUGACAGUUUUCCAAACUAACUUUUGUUUUGCUUUCUCAAUGAGAGAUUAAAGUCAAAUAACCACAAUUUAACUGAUCAGAGAAUUAUGUUGGUUUGCUGUGGACUGUUAGCUAUUCAAUAGCAUUUUACGUUGUUCCUGUUUUUCUAUAUAUGCUUUAUCAAUAUUCAUGAAAUAAUUACUAGGUGCAGCUAAAUUCAUUAAUAACUUAUUUUGGAAUACUUUAUAAGAUACAUUAGUAAUGAAUUGUUAACAAGAAAUGCCACAAAAAGCUGUUACAAAGAUUAUUGUAAUGUACGGAUCUUUAAAAGUAAGCAUGAGCCUGAUUACAUAGUCACUUAAAUUCAUGUAGUAGCAUUCCAUAAAGUGUAGUAAACUUAUUAAAAAAAUAACGACUCCACUGUAUAAGUGGAUACCAU